UACGUAGGGGGCUAGCGUUGUCCGGAAUCAUUGGGCGUAAAGGGCGCGUAGGCGGUCGUGACAAGUCACUUGUGAAAUCUCCGGGCUUAACUCGGAACGGUCAAGUGAUACUGUCGGACUAGAGUACAGAAGGGGCAACUGGAAUUCUCGGUGUAGCGGUGAAAUGCGUAGAUAUCGAGAGGAACACCUGCGGCGAAGGCGGGUUGCUGGGCUGAUACUGACGCUGAGGCGCGAAAGCCAGGGGAGCGAACGGGG
rnacentral:rRNA from 1 species